GACGAACGCUGGCGGCGUGCUUAACACAUGCAAGUCGAACGGAAAGGCCCUGCUUUUGUGGGGUGCUCGAGUGGCGAACGGGUGAGUAACACGUGAGUAACCUGCCCUUGACUUUGGGAUAACUUCAGGAAACUGGGGCUAAUACCGGAUAGGAGCUCCUGCUGCAUGGUGGGGGUUGGAAAGUUUCGGCGGUUGGGGAUGGACUCGCGGCUUAUCAGCUUGUUGGUGGGGUAGUGGCUUACCAAGGCUUUGACGGGUAGCCGGCCUGAGAGGGUGACCGGCCACAUUGGGACGGAGAGACGGCCCAGACUCCUACGGGAGGCAGUAGUGGGGAAUAUUGAACAAUGGGCGGAAGCCUGAUGCAGCAACGCCGCGUGCGGGAUGACGGCCUUCGGGUUGUAAACCGCUUUCGCCUGUGACGAAGCGUGAGUGACGGUAAUGGGUAAAGAAGCACCGGCUAACUACGUG
rnacentral:rRNA from 1 species